UACGGGGGGGGCAAGCGUUGUUCGGAAUUACUGGGCGUAAAGGGCUCGUAGGCGGCCAACUAAGUCCGACGUGAAAUCCCCAGGCUUAACCUGGGAACUGCGUCGGAUACUGGAUGGCUUGAAUUCGGGAGAGGGAUGCAGAAUUCCAGGUGUAGCGGUGAAAUGCGUAGAUAUCUGGAGGAAUACCGGUGGCGAAGGCGGCAUCCUGGACCGACAUUGACGCUGAUGAGCGAAAGCGUGGGGAGCAAACAGG
rnacentral:rRNA from 1 species